rnacentral:ncRNA from 1 species
AUAAUGAUACUUCCGCCCAGUCUCAGGCCGAGCGCGAACAAACCGUCGCAGCCAAAGAGGGCGGCUCUGUGAGAACCACAGCUGGGGUUGGACUCCCAUGA